CCCAGACUCCUACGGGAGGCAGCAGUGAGGAAUAUUGGUCAAUGGGCGAGAGCCUGAACCAGCCAAGUCGCGUGAAGGAUGAAGGAUCUAUGGUUUGUAAACUUCUUUUAUAUGGGAAUAAAGUGAGGAACGUGUUCCUUUUUGUAUGUACCAUAUGAAUAAGCAUCGGCUAACUCCGUGCCAGCAGCCGCGGUAAUACGGAGGAUGCGAGCGUUAUCCGGAUUUAUUGGGUUUAAAGGGUGCGUAGGCGGACGCUUAAGUCAGCGGUAAAAUUGCGGGGCUCAACCUCGGCGAGCCGUUGAAACUGGGUGCCUUGAGUGGGCGAGAAGUACGCGGAAUGCGUGGUGUAGCGGUGAAAUGCAUAGAUAUCACGCAGAACUCCGAUUGCGAAGGCAGCAUACCGGCGCUCAACUGACGCUCAUGCACGAAAGUGUGGGUAUCGAACAGGAUUAGAUACCCGUGUAUG
rnacentral:rRNA from 1 species